GGGGGUAUAGCUCAGUGGUAGACCAUCCGACUGAAGAUCGGCUUGUCCCCGGCUCAAACCCGGGUGCUCCCU
rnacentral:tRNA from 1 species